GAUGAACGCUGGCGGCGUGCCUAAUACAUGCAAGUCGAGCGAACGGACGAGAAGCUUGCUUCUCUGAUGUUAGCGGCGGACGGGUGAGUAACACGUGGAUAACCUACCUGUAAGACUGGGAUAACUUCGGGAAACCGGAGCUAAUACCGGAUAAUAUUUUGAACCGCAUGGUUCAAAAGUGAAAGACGGUCUUGCUGUCACUUAUAGAUGGAUCCGCGCUGCAUUAGCUAGUUGGUAAGGUAACGGCUUACCAAGGCAACGAUGCAUAGCCGACCUGAGAGGGUGAUCGGCCACACUGGAACUGAGACACGGUCCAGACUCCUACGGGAGGCAGCAGUAGGGAAUCUUCCGCAAUGGGCGAAAGCCUGACGGAGCAACGCCGCGUGAGUGAUGAAGGUCUUCGGAUCGUAAAACUCUGUUAUUAGGGAAGAACAUAUGUGUAAGUAACUGUGCACAUCUUGACGGUACCUAAUCAGAAAGCCACGGCUAACUACGUGCCAGCAGCCGCGGUAAUACGUAGGUGGCAAGCGUUAUCCGGAAUUAUUGGGCGUAAAGCGCGCGUAGGCGGUUUUUUAAGUCUGAUGUGAAAGCCCACGGCUCAACCGUGGAGGGUCAUUGGAAACUGGAAAACUUGAGUGCAGAAGAGGAAAGUGGAAUUCCAUGUGUAGCGGUGAAAUGCGCAGAGAUAUGGAGGAACACCAGUGGCGAAGGCGACUUUCUGGUCUGUAACUGACGCUGAUGUGCGAAAGCGUGGGGAUCAAACAGGAUUAGAUACCCUGGUAGUCCACGCCGUAAACGAUGAGUGCUAAGUGUUAGGGGGUUUCCGCCCCUUAGUGCUGCAGCUAACGCAUUAAGCACUCCGCCUGGGGAGUACGACCGCAAGGUUGAAACUCAAAGGAAUUGACGGGGACCCGCACAAGCGGUGGAGCAUGUGGUUUAAUUCGAAGCAACGCGAAGAACCUUACCAAAUCUUGACAUCCUUUGACAACUCUAGAGAUAGAGCUUUCCCCUUCGGGGGACAAAGUGACAGGUGGUGCAUGGUUGUCGUCAGCUCGUGUCGUGAGAUGUUGGGUUAAGUCCCGCAACGAGCGCAACCCUUAAGCUUAGUUGCCAUCAUUAAGUUGGGCACUCUAAGUUGACUGCCGGUGACAAACCGGAGGAAGGUGGGGAUGACGUCAAAUCAUCAUGCCCCUUAUGAUUUGGGCUACACACGUGCUACAAUGGACAAUACAAAGGGCAGCGAAACCGCGAGGUCAAGCAAAUCCCAUAAAGUUGUUCUCAGUUCGGAUUGUAGUCUGCAACUCGACUACAUGAAGCUGGAAUCGCUAGUAAUCGUAGAUCAGCAUGCUACGGUGAAUACGUUCCCGGGUCU
rnacentral:rRNA from 1 species